GACGAACGCUGGCGGCGUGCUUAACAUAUGCAAGUCGAACGGAAAGGCCCUGCUUUUGUGGGGUGCUCGAGUGGCGAACGGGUGAGUAACACGUGAGUAACCUGCCCUUGACUUUGGGAUAACUUCAGGAAACUGGGGCUAAUACCGGAUAGGAGCUCCUGCUGCAUGGUGGGGGUUGGAAAGUUUCGGCGGUUGGGGAUGGACUCGCGGCUUAUCAGCUUGUUGGUGGGGUAGUGGCUUACCAAGGCUUUGACGGGUAGCCGGCCUGAGAGGGUGACCGGCCACAUUGGGACUGAGAUACGGCCCAGACUCCUACAGGAGGCAGCAGUGGGGAAUAUUGCACAAUGGGCGGAAGCCUGAUGCAGCAACGCCGCGUGCGGGAUGACGGCCUUCGGGUUGUAAACCGCUUUCGCCUGUGACGAAGCGUGAGUGACGGUAAUGGGUAAAGAAGCACCGGCUAACUACGUG
rnacentral:rRNA from 1 species